rnacentral:misc_RNA from 1 species
GUUCCGUAGGUGGACCUGCGGAAGGAUCAUUAUUGUAUAACCGAGGUGCGAGGGCUGUCGCUGACCCGAAAGGUCGUGCACGCCCGAGUGCCCUCACACACAUCCAUCUCACCCCUAAGUGCACCACCGCGUGGGUCCCCCUUUGGCUUGUUCGGAGGGGGGCUUACGUUUUCACACAAACUUUGUAUGCAGUGUAGAAUGUAUUUUUUGUUUUUGCGAUCACGCAAUCAAUACAACUUUCAACAACGGAUCUCUUGGCUCUC